rnacentral:snoRNA from 1 species
GGCCUGUGAUGCAUCAAUUUGUCCGUACCAUCUGAGAUUUCUCUGAUCGAUACUCCAUUUUCUGAAUCUG